UCAUGAUGAUGAUGAUGAUGAUGAUGAUGAUGAUGAUGAUGAUGAUGAUGAUGAUAUCAUCAUCUUAAUCUUCAUCAUCAUCAUGAUUAUUAUUA
rnacentral:pre_miRNA from 1 species